CCCACUAUUCAAGCUUAUGCAAGGUAAGUUGGCAAUACUUUAUUACAGCACACCUCACAGAUAUAUAGCAAUAAGUAUGCAUUCACAAGUGCAUCGUUUGUUUACUGUAGGUGCCAAAGCAUGAGGUGGUUAUGUAAAAAAUGCAGCUUUCAGUCAAACCGAAGACUACUGUACAGCUAUUAAUACACUUAAGUGCAUCCAACUCUAAUCAUCACUUGAUUGUGUUACAUUUUAUUUUCUUUGUUUUAGAUAAAAAAUGAUUUCAGAAGAAUCACCACAAUUUCCUUGGAGCGUACAUUCUUGUAAAAGCUGGACUUCUAUACCCCAAAACUCCUGGCUUUGUUUGAGAUGAGGGGUGGGGUUGCUGGCAUAAGAAUUAAACAUUUGCUGGAUUCACUGAGCUAGCAAGAAGAUAGCCUUGAAGAUAGGUGAGAAGUUGUGAUUCGCUGCCUCCUAUCUUUCCUGGGAGAAUCAGCUAAGGAGCUCAUUGAAGACCACCAGGAUAUCAGCAGAGACAUGAUUAAGGAUACCUUAUUCAGUCAUGUCUUUAAAAUCAACGUACUGAGCAGAUCUGUGGAAGAAGAUGCCGGUAUGUCUGAUGUCAUCAUUGUCAUUGAGGGAACUGAGGUGCUGCUGGGAUGUAAGAAUCUCACAAAUGCAUGUCUUUCACUCUCAUGCUGCAUUUACUCCCUAAACUUAAGCUGUCCCCCAAAGCUGAGAAACACAUUUGGAGUGUUUCAUAAAAUUUUUCUUGGGUUAGAUGCUUUUUAAAUUUUCUCCAAAGGUUAACUCUGCAUAGAAAGCUUCUAAUGUAAUCUGCUAGUUGGGCACUCCUUGCACUUAUUGUACUGUUUUUUUUUUUUUUGAUUGUUUUGUUUUAAACAAGAAAUGUUGUUCACAAAACAACUUCAACUACAGUACUAUUUAACAUAGCCAUUCUUAUGCAUUUUAAGUAAUACUAUUCUGCUGAAGAAUAAUUAUUUUAUUUGAUGUCUUUUUUCACUUAAUUUAAUCUAAUUGAAAUUAAAAUAAGCUAAUGAAAGGCAGCUACUAGUUUGACUAUUUGCACAUUUGUUUUUGAUAUCUGCAACUGACAUUGUUGUAAUGUUUAUG